CAGGGAAUAGUUUAUAAAAAUAUUAAUUUUGGAGAUUAAAGAUAAGAAUUUUCUUUUUCCUGA
rnacentral:tRNA from 1 species